GUUUAAUAUCUGAUACGUCCCCCAUCGGGGGACUACAUAUUAAAUGGAUUUUUCGAACAGGGAGUCGGAAAUGGGGCUUGCUCCGUCCGCUCCACGCAUCGACCCGGUAUUGCAGUACCUCCGGGAAUGGUGCAACACUU
rnacentral:snRNA from 8 species